AACAGUUUUUCUAGGUUUGCGUGCCCUUUUCUCACUUUGAGCACCUGCCCCUCAAAAGAUCUCUGCAUGGCUUUCCUUUUACCCCCAUCAAUACUUUAAUGCCCCCUAGUAUUCAGAAUGUUACAGAAAUGACAUCUCAAAGAAUAUGGUGUAAACACGACUCUACUCCCCUUCUACAAUAGCACCUAUCUUCCAAUUAUCUUUGCUCCCUCCUGCACACAACAACUGCAGAAUUACACAGUGUGUAAGUAUGGUUUUUUUUGAGAGUUAAUGUUAUUAUUAUGGCUGGGCCAUAGCAACCAAAGCAACACACCUUUAGUUCCCAUGCGAAAUUAUGCAGUCACAGGAGACGUGUUGCACACAACAUGUUAGCUGCCCUAUAUUGUGCCACUGAUCUUAUGCGUUUAUCACACUUUGGCCCACAUAAAGCCUUAUUAGGACAAGCCUAAUUUUCACCGCCUUUUUUUAUUUUUUUAACUAAUAAUAAAGAAACAGAACUGUCCUAAAUAUACUCUGUUCUAAAAUGGCUUAAAAUAAACAGAGGUGACCAGACCCUGCCUCAGAGUGGAAACAAGCAUCUGCUUCUGAGACUGGAGAUAAUUCACAUCUGAUAGGCCAAUGCCUGACAGGGAGGACAGAUUUUACAAAACAAGGCCAAAGCAUCCCAUUCAAUGGAAACAACCAUUUCUAAAGGUCCAUAUGUCAUCAAGGCUGUGAUCCAUAAAUAAAAUGCAUUUUUAUGUGUUUGUAGUCUGUUGAAAUUUUUAUCUGCCAAAUUCAGAGCACCUCCUAAAGCAUAAUUCACUUAACCACUGUUGUUGACAACCAAUCGGAAUGAAUGCAUUGAAUGUUUUUAACAGCCAAUCAAAAUGCAGCUUGUUUGUUCCAGGAAGCUCCUGAAUAGAGGUGUGCUCACUACCCCAAUCUGAAACUGUGACCAUAACCCUCAAUCAACCAGACUACUGCGUUCACACGUGAAACCACUGCUGAUUCAGGGGAGUGUGGACAGCCAUGGUUCUGCUCUGCUCGCCAUCUUCUUCUGUUCACACCGCAGACUACAGCCAAGCUCCCACAGACUGGAGUUGGACCUUUCAUAUGGGCCUUUGCCAUGCAGUCCACGGCUCCCUGAUAAACCAUUGGAGGUCGCUGGAGAGCGAUAAAGCGUGGUGGCCUAACCGACUGAACCCUCCCAUAACCUGGGCGACACAACCGGCAAUUGCAUCACCUUAUGGAGCUGCCACAGCCAGCGCCAGCGUGGCCUGGAUUCGGUCUGAAGCCAUGGGGUUUGUCCUCAGCCUAACGAGCCACAAAGCAGACUCUGCUUGCUUUCUCAUUGGUUCAUGAACAUCAGUGUCUGCAGGCUCCUGGAGGGUUGCAGUAUCUGCAGGUUUAAGCAGAUUUAAGCGGGAAUCCGAGGAUGUAAGAGCGACAGGUCCCUGCCUGUUGAGAGUUCCACAUGCACUGACCCCAGGGGAUGCUGGGAUACGACAACUUGAAAGCCAGAGUGUUUGAGAUAUUAGACAAUGACAACAGCCUUCAUUCUUAUGAUCUAUUGAAUCUGCAUAUGCUCCAGCCUUGAAAGAAUUAGCAUUUGCAGCUAAUUUUGAUGAAUAAUUACAAGUGCUUGUUUGUUUUUGUUUUUUUUUCUUUCUUUUUUUUUCACCAGCACAAUUUUGUGAGCCAUUUUGAGUCCUUUUGUUGAUUGCUGGUCGCUAAAAACAGUGAUUUUAUUUGUGAGAAUAUAAGGAUCUGUUACAUGUUAAUUGAAUCCAGGUGAGACUCUUCUCUAUUGUUGGCUUGACUGUGCUUAAAGGAUGAAGCACAGUCUGCUUUACUGUGUCAGUUUUCCUUGGAUUUGUACUAGGGUUGAUUAUUAAUAGAAUGAAUUUUCAAAGUAUUCAAAGUUGAAUUUUCAAAGAUGACUGAAAUACAACAUUUUAGAACUAUCUUCUACAUGAUUAACGACAUGGAUUCUGAUAAUUGGGAAUUUCUGAUUGGGUGUGCUAUUUCUUCCUCCCUCUCUGAUUGGUUGGGCUGCUUCUUUUUCCUUCUCUGAUUGGGUGGGCUACAUCUUUCUCCCUCUUUAGUUGGGUGAGCUCCCUCUUUCUUUUGCUCAAAUUAUGUUGGCUCGCUCUUUUCCCCUUUCUUAUUGCACUGCAACUCCUGGAGGUUUGACACAUCUUGACAGUCUUUUGAGCUGUGUGUUCAGCCUCUCUAAGUGAUCAAUAAUUGAUUUAGUGAGUGAUGCAACACGUUGUUCAUUUCAAGCACAGUUAGCAGGCCCUAUGACUGGUGAGAGAGAGUGUGAAUGUAGAGACAGUGUAAUGGGUAAACCUUGCCACGGAUUUGCAGCCUUACUGUCAUAAACUUCAGAGAGUCUGGAUUCUGCUGUCUUUCUCAUUAGCUGAUGAUUUGUUCUCCAUUCCCUUUCGGUGUUUUAUCUCUUCUCUCCUUUUCUCACCAUCUCCUUAAAAUCUUUCAGUGAAAUUCUUUCAUGUCAACUGAGCUUGUUAUGAAAGAGUAGAAACAACAACAACAGCGUUUAGCAGAUUUGUCUGUUGUGCUAUUGUUCUCCACAAUGCUAAAACAAAGGGCAGUUGUCACUUCGGUUCUGUCGAGUUCAUCAUUUAGCGGGGAUCAUCUUGAUGAACGACCUGCGGGACAAACGAUUUUCACAGCCGGUUUGUUUGAACAAUGUGAGCUCACCUGAGUGAGGAUGAGUCAUGAUGUAUUGAUUCUAUGUGAAAUCUCUGUAAUCACUCCCCUGUCUGCAGUGGUACUGGACCAUAAGAGGUCUGCCUUUCUGGUAGCAUUUGAGUUCUCUGGAAGUUAAUUCCGAUAAAGGUUAUGAGAUGGCUGUGCUUUUGUCUCUGCACCACUUUUCCAAACAAGGUUAUGCCAUGUGGACCCAAGUCAAAUCAUUAUUUGAAAUGCUUCAACUACAAUCAUUUUCAGUUGUAUACAGAAUUAUUAUUUUAUAUUUGUACAUUUUUGUUCAAAACAUGUUUGACUGAAAAUCCUCAACGGUCUGUAGGAUUCUUUUCAUAUUUUACUGGCAUGUAAAAUGUCAAAGUAUUUAAAAUGCAUGUCUGUCUGAGUCCUGACUAUCCUAUUACUGAAAGGCAGCAAUGUGGAGCACUCGCAAACAGAAGGUUAGUGGCUUAUAUCCCAAGGAUUAUGGGUUAGAGCCAUAAUCAGGAAAGACAUUGUUGCACUUUCAAAAUGUGCAACUUCGUUCAAAUUCCCUAUCAAAUUUGUUGAUGAAUGAUGCAAGUACCUUUCACAAGAACGUAGUGAGCAUGUAGUAAUGGCCUGGAAUCAUGGUGUAUUUCCUUUGAUUUUGGGAACAGCUAAGUGAAUAAGUAAUUUUGCAUUGUAAUUUUGCUCAGAGCAGGCGGUGAAUUUGACAGCGAGCGCUCCUGUCCCAUUAAAUCCACUUCCUGUCCUUUAUCAGCUCAAAGCUGUCGUCGGGUCAUUGGCAGAGUUAUCAUUAUCCCUGCCUGUUUGAUCUCUCCUGCGUUAAAUGGAGCGUGGUGAAUGAAUGCCGCUAUUUACUGGCCUGUCAAAAGCAGUAUGAAAGUUUGAGCGGAGGGGGAGGGAGGGAAGAACAGAGCGUGCUUAUUGCUGCUGAUCGCAGUCAUUAAACUCCCUCCCCCCUAAACAUCGUUCCUCACUCUAAUUCCCAAUGGCUAGACCAGACAGAUGCCCCCCAGACAGCUAUGCACCCCAUGAAUGAUCAAAUUCACAGAAACUGGAAAAAAAAAAGUGAAUCAAAACAAUGAAGAAUUAUUGCUCAUCCAAAUCACUGGGUUUAUGUAGAUAUUGGCCUUUAUAACAGCUGUCAUCUUUUGGUGUGAAGGAAGCCUUGAAAUGAGAAAGCGUAAGGUGAGGAAAAAAUCAAAUGGAGACAUUAUAACACGGCAGUGACCUGGCGGUGACAGGUUAUCUUAUCUCCCCGACGCCGCUGCGAUUCAGAGCCCGAGAGAACCCCUCAAAUCCAAUCAGAUUUCCCCGCUGAGAAGGGCACGCGGUAUUUGCGUUUUCUCCUCAUUUGCGGCAGGCCACCUGUGGCCCGCCGUUAUCGCUCUGAGAUCGCGCGGCCGCUUUCCAGAACGUUCCUUCCUCUCCUUCCCCUGCGCGGCAGAUGUUCCCGCGUGGCUCGGCACCACAGACUGCGGAGUCAUUUCUCUGCAUUCAUUUCCUCCCGUUCGCUAACAGGUGUAUCAUCUGGCUAUCAGGUUCCCUUUCCCCCCAGAUGUGGAAAAUACAAUCAGAGGAGAUAAUU